rnacentral:rRNA from 1 species
UACGUAGGGUGCAAGCGUUGUCCGGAAUUAUUGGGCGUAAAGAGCUCGUAGGUGGCCUGUCGCGUCGGCUGUGAAAACUCGGGGCUCAACUCCGAGCUUGCAGUCGAUACGGGCAGGCUAGAGUUCGGCAGGGGAGACUGGAAUUCCUGGUGUAGCGGUGAAAUGCGCAGAUAUCAGGAGGAACACCGGUGGCGAAGGCGGGUCUCUGGGCCGAUACUGACGCUGAGUGAGCGAAAGCCAGGGGAGCAAACGGG